AAAAGUUCUACAUGGUGGCACAUGCCUGUAAGCCCAGCACCCUGGGAGGCUGAGGCAGGAGGAU
rnacentral:miRNA from 1 species